CUGGAAAUUACAGCUUUUCUUAGUAUAAUGAAAUUGUAGCUGGGCCUGGGUAAUACAUCUGGACUAAGAAAAAAAAAAUCAUUACAAUUUGGGGAGGAUAUGGGAAAUCUGUAGGUUUUCUAAGUCCCUUGCACUGAGUUGGCACAUAUAUUGUCACAUAAAACUAUAUUUCUUACUGGUAGGACCUGAGCUCUGCUGGCACUGCUCAGUGGAAUCCUGCACAGUAACGUUUCUGUGCCUACAGUUAACUCAUCUGUAAUUUGACAUUAAUUACAAUAGCCCUGAAGGUUGUAAGGAUUAAACAAGAGAAUGUGUUUGGCACAUUGCCUGGCACUCUAAACACUCUCAAACAUUAAUUUUGAACUGGGUGGGCAGUACAGUUUGUUAAUAGCUGGACAGAUCGCACAAAAGCGAGACCAAGAAGACUUCUAACUGAAGUGAUAUAAUGAGAAGUGCCUGGGAUUAGAGGUUUGUAUCUAUGACUCUGGUCCAUAAUUUUGAUAACUCAAACGGUAAUGUAUACUUAUUAGUGACCAGGAAAAAAAAUCAAUGAAGUCCAACAUCCAUCAAUUCCAUUUACCUUGAAAGGUUUUUGGAGGGAGAUCUGAGAUGUAAUAAAGUUUAAUGGGCACCUAAUUUUCAUACCCUGGUAUCCAGUUUCUCUGGCAUCCUGACAGACAUAGUUGUUAGUACCCUACUUACUGGGAUUAUGCCAAUCUGCCAACCUCUGAAUCUUUAAUCAAGAAAGACAAAGUGGUUCCAUGUCAUUAACGGCAGCUUAAAGGAAUGCUUGGGUGGCUCAGUCGGUUAGCAUCCAACUCUUGGUUUCAGCUCAGGUCAUAAUCUUCAGUCCUGGGAUCAAGCCCCUCGUUGCACUUAGCACAAUCUGCUUCAGAUUCUCUCUCUCUCUCUCUCUCAAAUAAUAAAGGCAGCUUAGAGAGCAAAGUUUAGGAGUCUGACUCCAGCCCUCCACUGUUUCACCUCCCAGAAGGAUUUAUCUGGAGGCUAAAUCCAGGUCAUACUAUGGUACCACCUAUAAGAGCCUUGCCUAUGAAGAACUAGUGCUUCUGUUUCCCAGCUUGGCACAGUGGUUGCUAAACGUCACGAGCAAUAUUCAGUAGUUGUAUUUUUAAAGAAUUUUGAUUCUGGAAACCAGCACCUUGUAGAAUUCUCAGAUGGGUCAUGUGUGAUGUAACAAAAUAUCACUAUACUAGCCAAACAUUUAUGUGCCCAGGUUAGAGACCAUAUGGGAAGAGAUCUGUGGGAAAGAUCUUUAAUUUGUGAGUGUCCUGAAUCAGAGUAGGUUAAGAUACUUGGUUUCUUGGUACAUACAUGAUAUUAGAGGGGAAAGGAAUUUUAAAGAACCAAGGCUUAGUGGAAAAGUAGGAAGGACCUGCUCAUUUUGCCCCCUUCCCAACAUGAUCUCUCUCAAGAUAAAGUAUUAGAAAUCAAGGUAAAGACUCCAGUGCUCUUUUAUAGCAUAACAAAACCAAACAUGGCCUGUGUAUGCCAAAUUCUCACUGUAGAUAUCCUACUUGAAAUUCUGUUAGCUUUCUUUCUAUUCUCCAUCCUGAAGUUGAUGAAGCGGUUCACAACCGAGGCCUCUCUAUUGUAAGAUACAAGAGAAUUCAGAUUUCAGCCUCUGCGUGGUUAACGUGAGUCCGCCCCUUCAAGAUGGAUUCUGUCUUGAGGCACUAACAAAUCAGGUAUCUGAGCUUGUGGAUCUGAGAGCUGUGCUCCAUACUGAGAGGCAUGGAAUGAGGAAAGGCACCCUACCUGAGUGAGCCUCGACCUUCCACGGAUGACCUUUAUAGCCUUACCAUGACUGUGUUCCCUGGACUUCUUUUUGGAACUUCUCUAGGCACAAGCAGAGAAGAGCUCCUGAUAGAAAAAAAUCUCCAAAAAGGAAAAGAAGGCUUAAAUACUCAACAGGGAGCUGUGCCCCAUAAAUCCUUACAUUCCACCUGUAUUUGUCAUAAGCCAUCCUAGAUUGACCAGGUACAUCCUGCUAAAAAGUUUUUCACAGAACAUACACUCGUCCACAGUGUAAUAUACUGAAGUUGGCGGAGCUAUUCUGUAAUAGGAACAGAAGCAUUGGGGAUCUGGUGCUCCUCCCACCGUUGGAAGGAAGAGAACAGCCCCAUAAGCUGUCCUUGGGAUCAGCAGUUGUCAGGAGCAGAAGGAGGAGGCAGAAAAGACUUUUCUCCUGCAGGGAAGAGGGCUCCUCACCGUCAGCUCUGCACUCGCAGGCUGUGCCUUCCCUGUUGAAAGUCCUUCAAUUGCAAGUGAAAUCAAUUUUCCUGAAAGCCUCCCCUGAGCCUCCUCUGCAGGUACCAACUAUCAUACCAGUGUUUCAUGAUUGCAGGCCAUUGAAUAAUUGGCACAACUCAUCUCUCUGGUGAGACUUUCCUGCCAAUUCUGUCCCCCGGAGCCUGCAAGGACCUGAGGCCUUGCUGAGGAUUGGUGCUCUCACUCUCCCAUCUCACACACCCCCGUGACUCCCCUCACUCCUGUGUCUUCUUCAGCCUCCUCCUCUUUUCUGGUUCCUUCACUCCUAUGGAAAACAUGCUGUCUCACUCUGCGCCACUUCCAGGCACCCAUCCGAGUUUGACUACACUCUCCUUGGACAAAAGGCAGAUGGCUGGGAGCAGAAAGGAAAUAUUUUGCUCUGCUCAAACAAAUAAAU